GGGCUAUAUUACAAGCUGGACAACACCUGAAGUAUAACUGUUCACAGAGCCCUUGCUUUGGUAAGCUGAAGACAUUUUGAGAUCAACAUUGAACAACAGCCAGGAAUUAGACACACAGCUGGCUGCUGAUGCUGAAGGCCUUACAGCCGCAUAUUCGCAUGAGCCUGUCACUCCUUGAAGACAUGAUUUAGCUGCUAAUCUAGCAGACAAGG